GCCAUUUGCAGCAACAUGGAUGGACCUGGAGAUUAUCAUAUGAAGUGAGUGGAAUAUUAUACAGCAAUGAGAGUGAAUGUGCUAUAGCAACCUGCAAUUAUAUGGAUGAAUCUCACAAAGUUGAGUGGAAGAAACCAGGUA